rnacentral:SRP_RNA from 14 species
UAGGUUGCGGUCGCCGGAGACUUCAGUGCGAUGGAGCCAGGAGUGCGUGUGUGGGUCCGAGACCCGGACGGGCUGCAGGCGUGGCUCCCGGCAACGGUGCAGUCCAAGCUCGCGCUCGGGUCGGCGGGAGG